UUGCUAUAAAUAUAUGCUAUUGUAGCUUCUUUUAUUGUAUUGUAACACUGUAAGAGUGGGGAUCUGGAUCAGCAUACACUAUAUCUGUUUCCCGAUAAGAGGAAGCGAUUAUCGGAACAAGAUCAUCCUAUUAUCGAAUUUAAAGAUCUAUAUUUGACUCGCUCGAGGAUGAACGCGGGGAUGAACGUUUAAAAAAUCGAACUCGUCUCAAGUGGUCGAGGUGUUGCCAGCUUCUCUUCGAUCACCAACGGCGAAGCAUUUACGUCAAAGACUGUAUGACGUCACCCAAUGAGCUAGAAUAGAAAACAUAGAGCUGCCCUUUUCUGUUGGUCGUUUUCAAUCUUACUACAAAGCUGUCUACGAAGAAGUUCGCAUCAAGGGAACGUUGAAUAAUAUCUUCCAAAUAUCAAGAUGUAGAGAAAAUUUUAAGAUUACACGUACUAUAUUCCCUCGAAUGAUUAAAAGUAUAAGUGCCCUAAUUAUUUUCACAAUUAGACAUUUUUCAUUUUAUAGUGGCAAAUGACAAUACUUAUCAAAGUAAACAUAAAUUUCAUUCUACCACAGUUUUCCUAUUUUCAUUUAUAUUGAAAGUUAUACCUUGCAUCUCCUUAUAGAAAUAUAUUUUCUAUAAAAUUUUAUAAAUUAGACAUUAUCUGUCUUCUAAACGUAGAAUGACAGGUUCUUACAACGUAAUUGUAUGAAAAAAGCGCCUGUAAAACCAAUGAUAUCUAUCGAUUAUUAAAAUCAACAGACAACGUUUGUCAUUGACGUCGAUGGUUGAGUGCUGACUACGUUUCGUCGUGAUAUCACACUUUGAGAAAUACCUGCUCAUAAGACAUUGUAACUGUGACACGUACCACUAAUUAUAAAACUCAUAGAACGAGAGCAUCGUAAUAUCUCCGAAAAUAUAAAGUUUGUCUUCGCCUAUAAAUAGACAACUAGUACUUAGUGGAUUAAGCAUCGUGUUUUCAGCUAUCCGAUCAAUAGAUCUCUUAUGUAAUUCAUUCUGUUUUCACGAUCGUACCAUUUUUCUCUUUUAAUUAUGCACUGCUCAAGUAUAUCAACUGCGUUGUAAUUAAUAAAUCAAGUAUCAUUGGAGUCUCUUUAAUUGUCAGUCUUUGAAUUAACAAGGGUCAAUUUCGUAAUAUUUCCCUGAAAUAUUAAGGCGUGAUCUUCUCAUUCUACGGUCGAAGCUCGAUCUUGAGGAAAGUAAUGAAUACAUAUCCUAACGUGCCACGAACGCGAAAUCGCUUCUGUCAGUCGACAGCAUAAAAUAAAUAUGUAUAUACUUCUUCGUGUA
rnacentral:misc_RNA from 1 species